ACACAGGCAUGGGGAGAACAUGUAAACUCCACACAGGCAGGGCUGGGGAUUGAACCCCAGUCCUCAGAACUGUGAGGCAGACGCUCUGACCAGUCGCCCACCGUGCCUGGAUUGCCUACAGUAUUACACUAGCUAUUGAUCGAAGUGGAAGGUAUCCAUUACAAGGGGGUUCUAUUGUGCUUCAUGCAGAACAAUAUGAAAAAAAAUAAUAAUAAAUGUUCAUAUAUGCUUGACGUCUCCUGCAGUAGGAGCUAAUGUCACAUCUUGAGUGUAAAAAUAACUCCCAAACAUUCCAGCAAUCAUUUGCACGAGGUGAUCAUGCAGCUGCACGAGUUGUCCCUAUGACCCCAUGUCGUCAUCCGAAGCUUGCCACAGACUUGUUGUUUGCUGCUGGAGACCAAUUGAAAUGAAGCAGACAGAUAACUGACCUGCUGCUGCCCCCACAUCAUAGCUUAGCCCCCCGCUGCGCCGCUCUCUUUCUUAACUCUGUUUGCAGCAAGCAGCAGGAGCGUGUGUGCGUGUGAGUGAGUGUGAUGCAUCAAGGCAGGUUUGCGUGAUGUCCCUGUCUUUAAAUGGGGGAAGAGCUUAAGGAUUAAAUGUGCACUUCAGGGGUGCAAGAAGAAGGAAACUAGGAGGAGCAGGAAGAGAUCCCAAAUGGCCUGCCAACACAAUGCCAGCUGUGCUGUUGGCUAUAAUUUCUGGUGACUCUACCAACAUGGCUGUGAUGUGUUGAGCUCUGAUGUGUGCAGCUCACCAUAUGGGAAGUCUCCUCGUCUGAUGCUGCAGUUGCAGAACAUGUCUUCCUAAAGAGCCGGUUACAAGAUACGAGUAAAAAGGCUGAGACAGCUUCCUGACACCGUCUUGAAUGUUCCUGGAACCCUCCCAGAAAUUCCCUGAAUGACAGCUAGGGUUGGGAGCUGAGGGUCAAGUGCUCCAACGGUGUGUAACGACUGUCUAAUGUGUGCAUGAGGAUGCUGAGGUGAAUGUUGACUUUCUCUGACAAGGAAAUGUGUGAACAAUGGUACAAUGUCUGGCAAUGGAAGGACAAGGAAUUGGACAGGGUUAACAGCAAGAGAGAAGAAGAAGAGGAAGAGGAUUGAGGCUGCUUGGCGAAGGAGUUGCGAGACAAAACAGACGAAGAAAUAGAAAAGCCUGAAGACAAAUGUCCAUUCCUGAUGACAUAAGAGCCACACUUGUGAGCCACAUUCUCAAUCAUGGGCUUAGGUGUAGGAAGACUGCACUGUAAUUCCUACUGCACUGCAAGUAGAGUUUUCCCUUAGGAUUGUCCUAUGUUCACAUUUCUACUUUUUUUUUUUGUCUUUUGUCUGUGCUUUUCAGUGUUGUCUUCAAAUUACAGUGCAAACAGUAAAAACAAAAAUGUGAA